GUCCUCCGCAUCGGGACUUCGGUUGCGGUUGGAUCUGGCACCGCCAUGCUGUUUUGGUUCGAUCGAUGGGCUGGGGACGCCCCCUUCGCGGCUCGUUUUCCUGACCUGUUCGCCAUUGCGGUAGAUCCGCGGAUUUCUGUCGCGAUGGCCCUUAUUGACUUAGGGCAACUCGCGUUCCGGAGACCGUUAGGACCAGCGGAGAACGCUGAUUGGCAUGACUUGCUUGACUGCAUCGCGCUGCACGAGCCUGAUCUGGAUAUGGGAGAUGACCGCACCAGGUGGCGACUAGAGCCAUAUGGUCAAUUCUCCACUAAAUCUCUCUACCAGGCUAUCGCCCCCUCUCCGGGACCUGAGGCUCUUACUACCAUCUGGGAGAUCCGGCUCCCCUUGAAGAUUAGGAUUUUCUUGUGGCAAUGGAUCCGCGGCCGCCUUCCGUCCGGUGUGGAGGUCCUGAAGCGCAACGGCCCUGGUGAUGGGUGUUGCCCGCUCUGCGGGCCUGAAGAGGAUUCGAACCAUAUCUUCUUCACCUGCGUGUCCGCGCAGUUCCUCUGGAGCUGUUUCCGCGAAAUUGUGGGUGGAAGCUGGGAUCACAACAACUUCCCCGCUCUCUUCGCCGGACUCCGGGCGUUACCGCCCUCGUCUCGCCACAUUAGGUGGUUGACCAUCAGUGUGCUAGCCUGGAUGCUGUGGACCGUUAGCAAUAGGCUUGUAAUUCAGCGUAUCCCUCUUCGUCGCGCUACUGAUGCUCUGUUCAAAUAG
rnacentral:rRNA from 1 species